rnacentral:rRNA from 1 species
UACGUAGGGGGCAAGCGUUGUCCGGAAUCAUUGGGCGUAAAGGGUGCGUAGGCGGCGCGGUAAGUCGGGUGUGAAAUCUUGGAGCUUAACUCCGAAACUGCAUUCGAUACUGCCGUGCUUGAGGACUGGAGAGGAGACUGGAAUUUACGGUGUAGCGGUGAAAUGCGUAGAUAUCGUAAGGAAGACCAGUGGCGAAGGCGGGUCUCUGGACAGUUCCUGACGCUGAGGCACGAAGGUCAGGGGAGCAAACGGG